GGCUAAAAGAAUGAAAAGUAUUCAUCAAUGAGAGCAGGUUCAAACAACAUCUCAGGGAUCCAACUUCAGUAUAAUUAUCACCAACAAAGCAACAUAAAUACUAUGCAAAGCUGGGGUGUAGCUCAAUAAUAACACAGUUGUCUAGAAAGUCAGGUACCCAGGUUCAAUUCCCAACACUACAGUUUAAAAAAUUAAAUAAAAUACUAUUACAAAGUUCUAAUAUCCAGAAAAAAAUUGAAAGAUGAAGGGUAGGAAUAUCUUAGCAUUUGUUAGAACAAUAACAACAGAGAGUUUUUAAUUGUUUAGACAGUGUCUCACUAUAUUGGCCAGGUUGGUCCAGACCUCACCAUCUUCAAGUCUGGCCUUCACUGUGCUGAUAUGUGCCACCAUACCAAGUUAAAUUAAUUUUUAAAGGAAAAUAGAAUUCAUUAACUAUAAUCUUGACUAAAACUGGAAUGAGGGUUAACUCAACUUUUCUGUUGAUAAGAGCCAGUUCUAUCUCACAGACCAAAAUACAGUUUCACUUUUCCCCAUUCAUCUAGAUCCAUUCUCUUAAAAACAUGCUACUUCAGAGUCUUCGACUAAAAUAUUCAAUACUAAGACAGUGGCACUUUUAAAAAGCAGUUCCCAACACUACAGCCAUUAUAUAGUAUUAGCCUCUAACAUAAGACUGAUACAUUAAGAUUUCCACAUUAAUUUGAUAAUAGUUUGUUAGAAUUUUUCUUUAGCAGUUUAAAACCUUUUAGGGGGGAAAAAAUCUAGUUUCUCUAGCAACAAUUUUCAAGUGGAUACUGAAGAGUAAUUUUGUACUGUUCCUAUAAUCCAAAGAAGACAAACUUACUUUCAUAUAAUCAGAAACAGUGAGACAGAAAACCCUACAAAUUUAACAGCAAGCUCAGAGAUAAAAAUAAAACAAACAGUACUUCUAUCAAUUUGCCAAGAUUAUACAGAUGGUUUUGGUAUUUAGAACAAAAUGAGGCCUGCUAAAUCUAAGGUAAAAGAAACAGAUUCUGAAAUAAUAAAAAGAAUGAUUGUAAGUAAAAUGUCUUAAUCAUUCGCAGUAAUGGAAGAAGACAGGUUAUUGAUAUUUUUUUAAUGUCUUAUAUUACCUCUGGAAAGUGUUUACUGAAAUUACAUCUGAUGACCUAUCUUAAAGCAAAUGGUGAUGGUACACUCAACAUGUCUGGCUCAGAGGUAUCACGUUUUACCCUUACUCUACCCCUUUGUUCAGCCCCUCACACCUUAAUCCAUAUUUGGAAAAGUUGACUAAAUGCCAAACAGACUAAGGGAGACUUAAAAGUAAAUGGUAUUCCUAGAGUUCCAGUAGAACUACUAAGUAAAGCAUGCAGCGUCUUAAAUAAGCAACCAAUUAUGAAGUAUAAUUAAGAAGUGCUAAUUACCAUCAAUGCCAAUUUCACAUGUGUGGCAAGAUGCCAAAUGUAGUUGCUAGGAAAAAAACGGACUUAGACUCAAGUUUUCAGGACACUCUGAAAGAUUAGAAAUGUUAUCUUUCACUUUAAGAUCCAGAUUUCUUGGUAUGUUCCUUCACUCACUGAUUCAAAGCCUAAUGAGAGAAUGAGACACAUAAAUUAAAAUGCUCGAAAGUCAACAAUAGAUAGACUAGAUUACUCACUAGAUACAAGACAUUGUUUCAAAUGUUUUAUUUGUAUUAUCAAAUUUAAGUGUCUCAACUCAAUAAAUGCACACUUUUCUCCAUUUUACAUGGGAGGAAACUGAGAUAUAAAGAAACAGGAACAAGACCAGGUUUCAAACCCAUAGCCACUGAUCCUUAGCCAACUACCUGGUACUUCCUCUCAUACUACAAUAACUGACUCAACAAAUUCUUUUUUUGUUUGUUUUUUUUUUUUGUUUUUGUUGACUGAGUUUUGUUGUUUUUGUUUUUGAGACUGGGUUUCUCUGUGUAGCCCUGGCUGUCCUGGAACUCACUCUGUAGACCAGGCUGGCCUCGAACUCAGAAAUCUGCCUGCCUCUGCCUCCCAAGUGCUGGGACUAAAGGUGUGCGCCACCACACCCAGCUUAACAAAUUCUUUUUUAAAAUUACAUUUAUUUAUCUUUUAUGUGUGCAUGUGUGUCACAGUACACAUGUGGUGGUCAAGGGUCAACCUUCUAGAAUCAGUUCGCUCCAUAAUGCAGGUCCUGAGGUCAAACUUGGGUUGUCAGGGCUUUGCAGCAAGCAUUUUUUUUUUUUCUUUUUUCGAGACAGGGCUUCUCUGUGUAGCCUUGGCUGUCCUGGAACUCACUCUGUAGACCAGGCUGGCCUUGAACUCAGAAAUCCUCCUGCCUCUGCCUCCCAAGUGCUGGGAUUAAAGCCGUGCACCACCACUGUCUGGCUAGCAAGCAUCUUUUACCCACUGAGCCUCUUCCUGCCCCCUCUACAAAUUCUCACUAGAACUUGAGACAUGACAAAAUACUUAUAGAUUACUCCAGAAGAGACCCAAUAAUCCAGAGCUGAGAAGGCUUUCUGGAGGAAUAAAGCCCUGAUUCUUUUUCUUUUAAUUAUCUUAUGUGUAUUGUGUUUUGCAUGCAUGCAUACAUAUGCAGAAAAAAGUGUCGUUUCUGCUGAAACUGGAGUUAUAGAUGUUGUAAACUGCUAUAUGGGUGCUGGGAGUCGAACCUGGGGCUUCUGUAAGAGCAGCUUGUGCUCUUAAUUUUUUAAAUUAAUUAAUUAAUUAUUGAAACAGCAUUUCUCUGAGUAACUAUUCUGGACCAGGCUGGCCUUGAACUCAGAGAUUUGCCUGCCUCUGCCUCCCAAGUGUUGGUAUAAAAGGCCAGCAUCACACCACCUGUCCCUCAUUCUUAAAGAAUAUAAAGAACUUAGCUAGACAAAAUAAGAAGGAAGGGAGGAAUGACAGGAUUCCAGAAAGAUACUUCUAUCCUGGGACCACAGCAGCAACACAACACUCCAGAAAUAACAGAUAUAUUCAAGGAAACUUCAAGAAGAAUGCUAUAAAGGCUGGAGUGGAAAGGGAAAGUAGAAAUUAUAAAAGUUAAGAUUAGAGAGCCAGACAAAGGCCAAAUUGUAGAGAAUUUUAAUGACAUGGUAAGGAGUGUUGGCUUCAUUUAGUUAACAAUGGAGUCAGCAGGGAAUUUUCAAUUGGUGUUUUAGAUAUACAUUUUGCCAACUCUGAAAAUGUGAAUUUCAGGAACAAAAGUGAAAAUAAGAAAACCAGUGGAAACAGCUUCUAAAAAGGAAAGUACUGGGAUAAGGAUGCUAGGGGAGUUUCUAGUUCAAAAUAAGUUAAUGGACAAAGAGAUGUUCUGUGGACAAAAGGUCCUUGCCACCAAGUCUGAAGACCAGAGUUUAACCCCAAGGAACCAUAGAUAGAAUGUCAGAACUAACUCUAGCAAACUGUCUACUGACCUUCAUAUUCAGGCACAUGCAUGUGCCCACAAGUGUACACACACACACACACACACACACACACACACACACACAGAGAGAGAGAGAGAGAGAUCAGUAAAUAAAGAAGUAUAAUAAAAAUUGUUUUUUUAAAAGAUUUACCAAAUAAGCUGGAUAUAGUGGCAAGAGGAUCAAGAGUUAACUAAGCUAUAAAGUGAGCUGGAGGCCAGACUGGGGUACAUAUACCCAGAUAAAUAGAUUUCAGUGAAUGAGUAGACAUUAAAGAAAGAGAGGGAAAGAUAAGAAGAACUUGUAUACAAUUACUAAAAGUCUCUUCCUUGAAUUAUGAAGUCAAUAGCAAUCCAUGUUAUCUCUGAAAAUAAAUAAAAAAUAAAUAAAAGCAAAACUUUAUCUAAGUAAAUAAGUUUGGUUUGGGUAAGAGUUUGAGGAGAAAGUGAUAAAUCAGAUAAGGCAUUGUGAUUUUAAUCCAUGAUAACUGUUCCAAGAAGUUAGAAAUGUCCAAAAAAAAAAAAAAGAAGAAGAAGAAAGAGACAGAAAAAAAGAAUGAAAGGAAGAAAAAAAGAGGGAAAGAAAGAAAAUAUUAAAAAAGGAAAAAGAAAAAAUGGGCCUCUCUAAUAUUGGUAAAUAUCCUGAAAAUAUUUUAAAAUAACUAAAAUGAUCUUUUUCAAAUAAGUUAACAAACAAAAAAAAAAGCCAAGUAGAAAAUAUGUAAAGAAGGCCUGGGGAGAUAGCUCAGCAGGUAAGAGGUCGGUCGGCUGAGUAACCACGAAGGCCAGAGUUCAGAUCCUAGAACUGCACAACAAGCCAGGCAUCCCAUGCAUGCCUGCAACCUCAGAUCCAAGGGGGUUGAAACAGGAGAAUCAGCAGAGCUUGCCUAGCGAAGAAGACACAUUUCCCAGGCAAAGAGUGUCAGGAAAGGAUUCCUCACAAUCUCUUCUGACCUCAGUUUGCAAACAGCUGCACGCCCUCACACACCUGAACACACUCACACAGAUGCCUAAACACACACAAAUAAAUCUUUUUUUUUUUAAGGAAAAAAAUAUAUAUAUAAAGAAUAGGUACGGGCCAGGCGGUGGUGGCCCAUGCCUUUAAUCCCAGCACUUGGGAGACAGAGGCAGGCGGAUUUCUGAGUUCGAGGCCAGCCUGGUUUACAAAGUGAGUUCCAAGACAGCCAGAGCUAUUCAGAGAAACCCUGUCAAAAAAAGGAAAAAAAAAAAAAAAAAAAAGGAAAAGAAAAGAAUAGGUACACACAAAUUUAGUGAAGAGAUGACCAAAAAUAAAAAUACUUUUAAAAAAAUGAAGGGAAAUAAACACAAGACAAAAAUGAAAUGCUAUUUAUUUUACAUCAAGCACACUAGCAAAAUCCAAAAAUCUAACAACACCUGGAAAGAGUAUAAAGAAACAGAAAUACACAUUGGUUGUCAAAAUUCUAUAAAUAAUUUAUUAAGGGAAAAAUACUUCUUUUCCAGAACUUAGCAAGUUCACAACCAGGCCCAUGACCUGGGAAAACUCUGGCAUGUUGCUUUAAGACAGUGGUCCCCAACCUUCCUAUUGCUGUGACCCUUUAACAGGGCUCCUCAUGCUGUGGAGACCCCAACCAUAAAGUUAUUUUUCUCUGCUAUUUCAUAACUGUAAUUUUGCUACUGUUAUGAAUUGUAAUGUGAAUAUCUGAUAUGCAACCCCUGUGAAAGGGUCGUUUGACCCCCAAAGGGGUCACAACCCACAAGUUGAAAGUCACUGCUUUAAAAGAUAGAGGAAUAUUAAUGAGGCACUGUUUAUGCCAGACAGAAAAUGAAGACCAUGUAGAUGAGCAUUAAUAGAAGAAAUGAUAACUGGCAGUACAGCACUUUCAGUCAGUGGGGCCCACAAAGCAAUAAAUCAAUAAAGAUGGGAUAAAAAUCAAGAAAAUUCAGUGAUUGUAUACCAGGACACAGCAGUAUCAAUACCUACUUAAACUUACCAGUAUUUAAAGAAAAGAAAAGAAAGAGUAACAGACAUGUAGCCAUAGUAUGCCUUUUAAAAAAAAUGUAGCUCUGACUGUCCUGAAACUCACUGUUUAGACCAGGCUUGCCUCUUCUUUCUGAAUGCUGGGAUUAAAGGCAGGUCCCACUACACCUGGCUGACACAGAUUGUCUUAACUACUGUUCUCCUGCCACGACAAAGGCAAAUUAUAAAAGAAAGCAUUUAAUUGGGGUCUCGCAGUUUCAGAGUGUUUAAGGCCAUGAUUAUCACGGCAGGGAGCAUGGCAGCAGGCAGGUGUGGUGCUGGAAUCAUAACUGAGAGCUUACAUCUGAUCUACAAAUAUGAGACAGAAAAAGAAAACGCUAACAGGGAACGGCAUGGACUUUUGAGACCCAAAGACACAUCUCCUCCAACAAGGCCACACCUCCUAAUCCUUCCUAAACCUAUCUACCAACUGUGGAUCAAGUCUUCAAAUAGCAGAGCCUAUGGAGGCCAUUCUCACUCAAACCAUCACAUUUUUUUUUCAGGGUUAUGUAAAUAAACUCAUCAAAUUUUUAUGAAACCUUAUAAAAAUGAACAUUUCCAUUGUUCCGAUUUGAUAGGAUAGGGGCAUGAAGGAUAUAGUUUAAAGAACUAUAAAAUCACUAAAAAGUAAAGUCAAGAUUCAGACCAAGGAGGCUGGAAAGAUGGCUCAGCAAUGAAAAGUGCUUUUUGCCUUUGUAGAGGACCUGAGUUUGGCCCCUAGCACUCAUUUUGUGGCUCAGAACUGUUUGUAACUCUAGUUCCAGGGGAGCCAGUACCUCUUGUGGCCUCUGCAGGCACUAGGCAUGCAUGUGGUACAUAGACAUGCAUGUGGGCAAAGCACUCAUUCUCAUAAGAUACAAUUUAAAAAUGUUUUCAAAGAUUCAAAUCCACGAAGUUUAGUUCUAAUCCAUACUUUGACUUUUCUUACUAAAAUAUCACAUCAACAUUCAAAAUCCUGGGUUUCAUUGUGGUGUUUUUCAUACAUAUCACUAUACUUUGUGCUGGGCACUCAGAGUAGAGCCAGGUGUGGUGGUACAAUCCUACAAUCCAGCUUUGGGAGGUAGGGAAGUAAGAUCAGGAGUUCAAGACCAACACAGGCUUCCUAGCAAGUUAGAGUCUAGCCUGACACACUCUCACCCUGUCUGAAAACAAAGACCUAGCACCAGAGCCACACUACACACACAGUGUGGGUCAGUAACAGGAAAGAGAGAGACGUGAAACUGGAUGGAACAAAAAGGCGUUAAUAUCAUAUGAAGUAUAAAGUUCUAUACUGCUCUUAGAAUCCCAUGUGGCAACUGUGAUAUAGUUCUUUUAUAUUAAAUAUAUAUCUGAAGCAAAAAUGAAAAAUGUCAACAUCUUAUGUAGGCAUGUGGGUGUGUACUACAUAUUUUGGUAAUUGGGUUUAUUUUUAAAGCUUUCCAAGAAGAAAAAUGUCUCAUCUACAAAACAACAGUUACAGUUGGUUGGGCAUAACAGUCACGUCUAUAAUCGCAACUUUCUGGAAGAGGAGCUGAGAAUCUGGAAAGCUCAAAGGGACACACUGUUUCUAAGACCUGUAAGAGGGCUGGAGCCAUAGCUCACUGGGUUUAGUACCAGGCCCAGAGUUUGAAUUCCCAGCAUCCACAUAAAAGAAUGGGUGACGUUUCUCCAGGAUUGGGUGGUGGCAGAGAAAAGCUGUCUCAGGAACUCAGUCUAGCCAAUUGGUAGGCUCUGGAUUCACUGAGAGACCUUGUCCCAAAACAUAGUGACUGAGGAAGGCAUCUGAUGCCAACUUCUAGCCCACACAAGCACAUGCAACACAAAUUAAUCAAAGGGAAGUUACCACAGAAAUAAAAAUAAAUUUCUGAUCUCCAUAUAACAGGUUUUACUUAUAAACACACUCCAAUAUGAAAUCUAGUGUGCCAAAAAUGUAUUUUAAAAAUGGGUGUCUAGAACCCAAAGCACAGUUUCCCACUAGGAAAGUUACAAAAGGAUAUGAGUACAGAGGCGGGGGGUGGAGGUUGGGGAACCCUACCCAGCACUAGCAAUGAGACAGGAAAACAGGGGACACAUGCACUGUUGGCUCCAAAAGCAAACAACACUUCUCAGGCAGGGCUGGAGGGCAGAAGUCAUGUUUUAUUCACCUUUGUAUCCUCAGUAACUAGCAAAAUAUUGGUAUCUCUGAACCAUCCCAGUGCUGUUGCCUAACGACUCAUGAGGUAAUGAGGAAAAGACUGAGCGCAUUAUCAGUAGGUGGCACUGUCAACAUGGAGCAGUUUAGUACUGGAAGCAAAAAGAACCCAGAAGUUAAUGCAAAGCAUCCACAGACAUACAAACGAACGCAAGGUUAGCGCUGACAAUCCAUCCAGACAGCCACUUGCUUCUGUUACUGGGAGUGCACCUACACACCAGACUCUGCUAGCAAAGGCGGUUUUCUUGUUGAGAUUUUUCAAUAUUUUCUCUUAACCCUUUAAUGCCACUUUGCGGUUAUAAGAAUAGUAAUUUAACCGAACGUGUUAAAUUAUACCUAUACCUAUACCUAUACACAUAUACCUAUAAUCCCAGCACUUAGAUGGUUGAGGCAGGAAGCUCUUGAGUUCUAGGCCAUCAUGAGCUACAUAGCAUGGUCCUGUCUCAAAAAACAAAAAACAAAAACAAAAAAGCGAGCCUUUUUACUAUUACAAUAACCCCAUAUGUAAAUGAAUAGUGUCUCAAAUAUAAGGCUUUACACUUCUUUCAGAAUCCAAAGUGAUAUCGAUGAUAUACAGUAAUUAAGUAUAGCUGUACUCUCUUCACCCCACCCUACUAAUUCUACUGAAUAAAAACCAACUGGGGAUGAAGAGAGCAGAUAAGAAAGAAAGAAAGAAAGAAAGAAAGAAAGAAAGAAAGAAAGAAAGAAAGAAAACGAUUCCUUAGAAUCUCCUUCUAUUACCUCUGGCAGGAAAGGGUGAAAUUCUGAAAAGUUAAGUCCCUGAUGUGGGAGAAAGCAGAAAUAGCAAGUCCAUUUUCUUGCUGGAGACACUCAUGUUUAUGGCUGACAGUCAUGAGGCACCAAUAUACACCAGAAUGAAGGGUCUGUAACAUAACAAUCAGCUCUAUGUUUAGUGAUGGGUAUGAAAAACUACGCUUCCCAUAAGCAGAGGGCUUAAGAUUCUGCAAACAACUAAAGGCAAUGCAGUUUGUAUCAUGCAGGAAGAAAAUAGCUUUCUUCUUUGUUAAAAUGUUUACUGUUUUCUGAAUAAAUUAAUAUGAAGUGCUUUGUCCCUUCCAAUAAUCUUCCAAUUACACUAAAUAUUAUUCAAGUUGCCGAAAUAGGACAAAAGUUCCAGGAACUUUAGAAUCAAUGAGCUGCUGGUAAUUCCAAUGGAAGAGCUCAAUCAGCACCAGCUUUCUGGCUCUCCUGCAGGGAUAGAAAAGUUGUACUCCUUCACCAAACUUCAAAAAUGGAAACUUGUGCACUUAAGCUUGAAAUGCAAGCCAAAAUUUGCUCAUUUUUAUCCCUAAUAUUAAGCUGGUGUCAAGAUCAAUUAACUUCCCUCACAAGCACAUUCUUUCAAAAUUCCACAGCAAAGUAGAAUGUUUAAUCAUUGGAUGGUGGGGGGGGGGAAGAAUUAUGUAACACAUAUAGAAUGAUGGUGGUAACUAUAUGUUAUUCUAGACUCUUGCUGGGAGCUGCAGUUCAAAGGGAGUUUGUAAAAAUAAAAAGCUGCCUCAAACGAUUAUUACGUCUCGCCCAAACAAAACAAAGCCCCAUAAAAGAAAUCAAGUACAAUUUUAAGUUCAAUUAGGGCUCAGAUCAGAAAUUCUAUUCCUUUUUUUUUUUCAGAAGCUGUAUCUCAGAACUACUGUAAAUAUAAACUGAUCAAUUUGCCCAAGAAUCCUUACUUAUAAACUAAUCUUGGGUUCCCCCUGAGACUCCUCUUUAUAGUAAUCUCAAAUGCACCACAAUAACUUAGUGUAACCUGGGCUACGAUGUUUACAGGUGUCUCCACCCCCUUCCUCCAAGGAAAGAGGAGGUACAAUGGGUGGGCAGAAAACAGAUUAAGGCUGUAUAUACACUAAAGAUAAUCUUGUGAUAAUGUAAUAUUGUUUAUUUUACUUUUGGGCUACCCUUUUCAUUCAUAUCUAACACACUUAAAAGAACAAUAUACUCACAGAGUGACACAAUUCCUGCCCUCCCAUGUCUCUCUGGCUGGCUGACACCCACUUUCCCCUCAGAUAAAUACAAGCCUGUUGACUGAUGCCUGUCCUGUUUUGCAAACAAGAAAUAACUGUCCUAUAAGACAAAUAAAAACCGUCUCUACCGCUCUGAGGCCAACCAUUCGUCUGAAGGAAAAGCACACUGGAGCAGCAACAUCCAAGUUUCCCUUUACGUCCUGUCAUUUAAAAGCACCAUAAAAGAGAUGUCGCUGCGACCCAAUUCUAGGUCACAAGCUUUUUUGCCCCUUCUCCCCCUGCCCCCUCCUUCGUCUUUCCCCUCUAGAAAGAGAUAAACUUCAAAAGGAGUGGUGAUGACCAAGAAUUGCGCGCGCGUGUGCACAGACACACACACACACACACACACACACACACACACACACACACACACACACACUGGUCAACUUGGACGCUGGCCGGGCUCACGUGGAACCUGAGCCCCAGCCGGGCCCCGGCAUCUGGACUGAACAGCCGCGGGAAAGCAGCCCCCGCCGCGGGUUUGAAACCCAGAGCAGGUGGGAUUCCGGGAAGCAACCUUACGUAACGAGCUUGUCAAAAUCCCAGCUUCAGGACCUCCCCACCGUCCGCCCCCGCCCCAUCACCCCAACAACAACAGCCCCAGGCCAGCACCAAAUGGCCAGUCCGGAGGGACCCCCCCGGUGUCCCGCGCUCGUUCCCACACGGAGGCGCGCGAACGCCAUCGACAGCAUCUCGCCAUCCUCCGGGACGGCCAGAGCCCCUCCUAGCAGCUGCCCGCGCCUAGCGGCCCUCCAAGUCCUAUCACCCGGCUCGGCGUCCCCCUGCCAGUCACCUCCUCAGGGCCGUGACAGCUCCCUAUGCCACCGAUGCCCACGCCGCCGCCCCCGCCACUCACCUCCCCGCCGGCCCCCGCGCGAGCACCGGGAAGAGCCUGAGAUGCAGAGUCUGAUCCCCUCAUGCGCGGCGGGCGGGACACGAGGGGGCUGAAUGUCGCGGCGCUUGCAGCCAGCUUAGCUCAUCUCCCGGCCCGGCGCUCCGCCCAGCCGUCUCAGUCAGACGGGACUCCCCCUCCCCGCGCGGUCGCCAAAGCCUCCGCCUCCUUCCUCAGCACCAGCCGCCGAACCCGCCGCGGCCGGCGCCAUCUUGGGAGUGACGGUUGGGAGAUUCCGAGCCCCUGGCGAGUAAGAACAAGGCGCACUGUACCUUCCUCUUUCACAAGCAUCCAGCUAUGGCCAACAGACCUGCUUCUUCCUUCCCGGCACUGCUGCUUGGUGCAGUGGUCUGAGCUGAGAUCCGCCCACCAAAGUCACUGGUAUUCUGCAGAAAACCCCCUAAGCGGUUAGCAACCACCAGUAGCUUUCAGUCCCGAGACAGAGGUCAGGGAAAAGGGGGAAUUCAGAGGGGUUCUCUGAAAAGCGCGUUGAUAAAACAGCUAUUGUUGAUUGAAA